UACAGAGGGUGCAAGCGUUAAUCGGAAUUACUGGGCGUAAAGCGUGCGUAGGUGGUUUACUAAGUCAGGUGUGAAAUCCCCGGGCUCAACCUGGGAACUGCGCUUGAUACUGGUAAACUAGAGUUUAGUAGAGGGAAGUGGAAUUCCACGUGUAGCGGUGAAAUGCGUAGAUAUUCGGAAGAGCACCAGUGGCGAGGGCGACUUACUGGACACAUAUUGACGCUGAGGUGCGAUAGCGUGGGGAGCAGACAGG
rnacentral:rRNA from 1 species